GACGAACGCUGGCGGCAUGCUUUACACAUGCAAGUCGAACGGCAGCACGGGCUUCGGCCUGGUGGCGAGUGGCGAACGGGUGAGUAAUGCAUCGGAACGUGCCCAUUUGUGGGGGAUAACUACGCGAAAGCGUGGCUAAUACCGCAUACGCCCUGAGGGGGAAAGCCGGGGGAUUCUUCGGAACCUCGCGCAAUUGGAGCGGCCGAUGUCAGAUUAGCUAGUUGGUGAGGUAAAGGCUCACCAAGGCGACGAUCUGUAGCGGGUCUGAGAGGAUGAUCCGCCACACUGGAACUGAGACACGGUCCAGACUCCUACGGGAGGCAGCAGUGGGGAAUUUUGGACAAUGGGGGCAACCCUGAUCCAGCCAUGCCGCGUGAGUGAAGAAGGCCUUCGGGUUGUAAAGCUCUUUCGGCCGGGAAGAAAUCGCAUGGGUUAAUACCCUGUGCGGAUGACGGUACCGGCAUAAGAAGCACCGGCUAACUACGUG
rnacentral:rRNA from 1 species